CCUGUUUCAGGUAGCUGGUUUAACAUACUCUGAGUUUAAUCCUGCGCUCUGAGUUGGUUGAUUCAGAGUUCAGGGUUGAAAAGCAACUCUGGGUUUUCGGUUUCAGAACAGGUGAUCAGCGUUGAGUUAAUCAACUCUGAGUGUGUUCACGCUGGGUUGGGGGCGUGCCUGUUGACUAUAAAGAGCCAUCAUCAAUGGAUCUCUGAUAACAUGAUCAAUAUGGACCAAAAACGUAGAUCCAGUUACUUUUCACCCACGGAAUUGGAAAUAUUAAUGCACGCAUAUGCCGAGCAGGAACACAUUUUCACCAAAAAAAGCAAUACCGCUGCGGCAGCGAGAGCACGAGAGAGAGCUUGGCAGGAAAUAGCCAAUGCGAACAACCCGAGUUGCCCCAAGAGGACUUGGCAGCAAAUGAAAAUGAAGUAUAAAAAUAUAGUUCAAACAGCAAAUCGAAAAAAAGCAGAGGCCCGGAAGACUGGAGGGGGUCCACCACCUGCAGCCCUCACAGUGGCUGAGGAGAUGGCCCUCAGCCAACAGAGUAUGCGUCCUGUGGCUGAGGGCAUCCCUGGAGGGAGCUCCUCUGAUCCCCCCCACCCCCCAGGAUAGAAGUGCCUUUAUCAGAGUUACUGAUGGCGUCAUCGCCCUACUUGAACCAGAUGCCCUCACCAACCUCCAUGCAAUUGUAACAAUUCAAAGGAUGCUUUGGAGAUCCAAAUUUUGGAACAUAAGUUAAAGGAAAUAAAGAAAUCCUC